rnacentral:lncRNA from 1 species
AGAUCUCAACAGUGGCACCUGCCCAACCUGCCAUUGUGCAAGUUUCUGCCACAUACUUUGAGAAGACACCUUCAAAGCUUAACAGGAGACCCUUUCAUCCUUACUUUAGAUGAACCUGAUAUUCUCAACCUGAGUGCUCUGGAUCUCAUCAUCCUGUAUAAAUCAUAAAUAAGUGCAGUACCAACAGAGGCCAGAAGAGGUUUCAAAUCUCUUGGAGCUACUGUUACAGGCUGUGGCAGGAGCUAUAUAGUCCAUUCUGGUCUCUAACUCCCCAUGUAGCUGAAGUUGACUCUAAACUUCUGAUUCCUGCCUUCACAGAUGAGGAUUGCGAUUAUGGGAUCUCUUUGCUACUGUGUGAACCAGGGUUGUGGGCCUGCACUCUUCUUCCUGUCUUGCAGAGGAGCAGAGGAAUUAUCAGCACACACCACCACCUCCUCUCCAUGGAUAUCUGGGGAACUGAACUCAUUUCCACAUGGUUGUAAAGCAAGCUCUUUACCUACUGAGCUAUCUGCCCAGGCUUUUGGGUUUUACUGCUGUGAAGAGACACCAUGACCAAGGCUAGUCUUAAGAAGGACAACAUUUGUGUCUGUCUUACAGAUUCAGAAGUACAGUCCAUUAUCAUCAAAUUGGAAGCAUGGCAGCAUCUAGGGACUCUCCAAAUCCUUUUGGCAGACCAAGCAUUCCUCCUUCCAGCCCGGGGAUCAGAUGUUCAAGCAAGUUAAAGUCAAUGAAGCUGUACUUGCCUCAGCUUACAUUCACCUCAUGUCAUAGAUGUCAAGACUUCACACACCUUUCCUCGCUGAAUUAAGUACCAGUUUUUCUUCUUUGCAGAAUAUAAAUAAUGUGUAGGAAUAAAUGGAGAAAAAAGCCGUC